UACGUAGGGUGCGAGCGUUGUCCGGAAUUAUUGGGCGUAAAGGGCUCGUAGGCGGUUUGUCGCGUCGGGAGUGAAAUCCACUGGCUUAACUGGUGGCUUGCUUUCGAUACGGGCAGACUGGAGGUAUGCAGGGGAGAACGGAAUUCCUGGUGUAGCGGUGAAAUGCGCAGAUAUCAGGAGGAACACCGGUGGCGAAGGCGGUUCUCUGGGCAGUAACUGACGCUGAGGAGCGAAAGCGUGGGUAGCAAACAGG
rnacentral:rRNA from 1 species